rnacentral:rRNA from 1 species
UACGGGGGGGGCAAGCGUUGUUCGGAAUUACUGGGCGUAAAGGGUUCGUAGGUGGCCUGCUAAGUCAGACGUGAAAUCCCUCAGCUUAAACUGGGGAACUGCGUCUGAGACUGGUGGGCCUUGAGUGCAGGAGAGGAACGCGGAAUUCCAGGUGUAGCGGUGAAAUGCGUAGAUAUCAAGAGGAACACCUGCGGCGAAGGCGGGGUUGCUGGGCUGAGCACUGACGUGAGGCGCGAAAGCUAGGGGAGCGAACGGG